CGCAGCCGGAGAGAGCUUCACGCACACCAUCUCUUCAUUCUUCCUGAACUCUGUCACGGAGGGGGCCUUUAUUUAUUUAUUUUUGGGAAAUCUGCUUCGCCACUGAAGGUACUCUGCACCCCAGAAGGAAUACGACUUCAGUGUUUCAUGAAGUAUUUUACAGAAGAAAUGAAAGUGAACUGGUGUCACAAAGAUGCUAAGAUCUCAUCCAGUGAGCAUAUGAGAAUCGGGGGGAGUGAAGAGAUGGCCUGGCUGCAGAUAUGUGAGCCGACCGAGAAGGAUAAAGGAAAAUACACUUUUGAGAUUUUCGAUGGCAAAGAUAACCAUCAACGCUCCCUCGACCUGUCCGGACAAGAGCUGCUGCUUUUGCAGAGAAGAAUCGUGGCAGGUUGAUUGGCGGCUUGCCUGACGUGGUGACCAUCAUGGAAGGGAAGACCUUGAAUCUGACCUGCACGGUGUUUGGAAACCCUGACCCCGAAGUGAUUUGGUUCAAGAACGACCAGGACAUCCAGCUCAGCGAGCACUUCUCAGUGAAGGUGGAGCAGGCCAAGUACGUCAGCAUGACCAUCAAAGGCGUGACCUCCGAGGACUCGGGCAAGUACAGCAUCAACAUC
rnacentral:sRNA from 1 species